GAGCUGAAGGCCGUGCUGGAGAACAACCCCAAAGUGGUGGCACGCUACCCAGUGGAGGUGCGCUUUGCUCGGGGGGACGACAUCUUGCUGAGUCCCUGUUUCCAGAGAGACAGCUGCUACAUGAACAUCAUCAUGUACAGGCCCUACGGGAAGGACGUGCCCCGGCUGGACUAUUGGCUGGCCUACGAGAGCGUCAUGAAGAAGGCUGGGGGGCGACCGCACUGGGCAAAGGCUCACACCUGUACCCAGA